UACGUAGGUGGCAAGCGUUGUCCGGAAUUAUUGGGCGUAAAGCGCGCGUAGGCGGCCCUGUAAGUCCGCUGUGAAAGUCAAAGGCUCAACCUUUGAAUGCCGGUGGAUACUGCAGGGCUCGAGUCCGGAAGAGGCGAGUGGAAUUCCUGGUGUAGCGGUGGAAUGCGCAGAUAUCAGGAGGAACACCAAUAGCGAAGGCAGCUCGCUGGGACGGUACUGACGCUGAGGCGCGAAAGCGUGGGGAGCGAACGGG
rnacentral:misc_RNA from 1 species